UGGUGGAGUGAUUUGUCUGGUUAAUUCCGUUAACGAACGAGACCUCGACCUGCUAACUAGUACAGUAGACCUUCUGGUCUUACUGAUUGACUUCUUAGAGGGACUAUCGGUGUGUAGCCGAUGGAAGUUCGAGGCAAUAACA
rnacentral:rRNA from 1 species